rnacentral:rRNA from 1 species
GAUGAACGCUAGCGGGAGGCCUAACACAUGCAAGCCGAGCGGUAUUUCUUCUUCGGGAGAGAGAGAGCGGCGUACGGGUGCGGAACACGUGUGCAACCUGCCUUUAUCUAGAGGAUAGCCUUUCGAAAGGAAGAUUAAUACUCUAUAAUAUAUUAAUUGGCAUCAAUUGAUAUUGAAAACUCCGGUGGAUAGAGAUGGGCACGCGCAAGAUUAGCUAGUUGGUGAGGUAACGGCUCACCAAGGCAAUGAUCUUUAGGGGGCCUGAGAGGGUGAUCCCCCACACUGGUACUGAGACACGGACCAGACUCCUACGGGAGGCAGCAGUGAGGAAUAUUGGUCAAUGGGUGCAAGCCUGAACCAGCCAUCCCGCGUGAAGGAUUAAGGUCCUAUGGAUUGUAAACUUCUUUUGUAUAGGGAUAAACCUACCCUCGUGAGGGUAGCUGAAGGUACUAUACGAAUAAGCACCGGCUAACUCCGUGCCAGCAGCCGCAGUAA